UACAGAGGGUGCAAGCGUUGUUCGGAAUCACUGGGCGUAAAGCGCGCGCAGGCGGACUUGUGCGUCUGGAGUGAAAUUUCGCCGCUCAACGGCGAAGCUGCUUUGGAUACGGCAAGUCUGGGGACCGGUAGAGGCUGGUAGAAUUGCAGGUGUAGCGGUGGAAUGCGUAGAGAUCUGCAAGAAUACCCGUGGCGAAGGCGGCCAGCUGGGCCGGAUCCGACGCUGAGGCGCGAAAGCGUGGGGAGCAAACAGG
rnacentral:rRNA from 1 species